rnacentral:rRNA from 1 species
GACGAACGCUGGCGGCGUGCUUAACACAUGCAAGUCGAGCGGAAAGGCCUGCUUUCCCUUGUGGAUUGCGGGUACUCGAGUGGCGAACGGGUGAGUAACACGUGAGUGAUCUGCCCCCAACUUGGGUAUAAGCCUGGGAAACUGGGUCUAAUUCCCGAUAGGACUGCAGGGUGGUGCCUGUGGUGGAAAACGAUUUUCUAGUGGUUGGGGAUGAGCUCGCGGCCUAUCAGCUUGUUGGUGGGGUAAUGGCCUACCAAGGCGGCGACGGGUAGCCGGCCUGAGAGGGUGGACGGCCACAUUGGGACUGAGAUACGGCCCAGACUCCUACGGGAGGCAGCAGUGGGGAAGAUUGCACAAUGGGCGGAAGCCUGCUGCAGCGACGCAGCGUUGGGGAUGACGGCCUUCGGGUUGUAAACUCCUUUCGACCGCGAGGAAGCCACCUGGUUGGAAGGGUGGUGACGGUAGUGGUAGAAGAAGCACCGGCUAACUACGUG